GGAGAAAAGAAGGAUGUGGAGAAUACAAAUCAAGCACAUGCAGCUAAAAAUAUAUCUGUUGUGACACUUCAUUUUACAAAAGAACCUUUAGACUUUGUUCCCUUUGGAUGUUAUACAAAUUAUACUGGUGCUGUAAAAACAUGUAAAGUACAAAUUUUGAGGAAACAAUACUUGUUUUAUAUGUUUUGAAGAUGUCAAACAGAAAUAUGAUGCAGAACACCGUUUUCCCUACUGUUGAAAGAAUAUAUCUGAAUUACAAGAAUUCAUUAAGAAUGCAGUUUUCAGAAAACAUCAAGCAGACACAUUUAGUUCACAAGAUAAACUUAUUUAACAACAAAGAAAAAAAAAAGCCUCGAGGAAAUAGGGUCCUGAUAUAGCAUAACUAAUUUUUCAGUUUAAAAAUGUAAAAAAUUGAUAUCCCAUUUCUUCAGGAUAUCUUUAUGCUAAGGAUUGAU